UGACUUUGAACCUUAUCAUUUGAAAAACUGUGGCUAAUGUGUCAACAGAGGUGUAUGGCACAAAUGCUUCUGCUUAUUGGUCCUGGAGUUCUUAUUUCGACCUUCUGUCUUGGAUCUGGUUUGAAGCUUACUUUUCCAUAUGAGUGGAACUGGAAAACAUCAUUGUUGCUUGGGUGACUUCUUAGUGCCACUGAUCAUGUUGCUGUUGUGGCAUUGUUGAAGGAUCUUGGUGCUAGCAAAAAGCUGAGCACCAUAAUUCAAGGAGAAUCCUUGAUGAAUGAUGGGACAACAAUUAUGGUAUAUCAGUUAUUUUAUAGAAUGGUACUUGG